rnacentral:rRNA from 1 species
UACAGAGGUCUCAAGCGUUGUUCGGAUUCAUUGUGCGUCAAGGGUGCGUAGGCGGCGCGGUAAGUCGGGUGUGAAAUCUCGGAGCUUAACUCCGAAACUGCAUUCGAUACUGCCGUGCUUGAGGACUGGAGAGGAGACUGGAAUUUACGGUGUAGCGGUGAAAUGCGUAGAUAUCGUAAGGAAGACCAGUGGCGAAGGCGGGUCUCUGGACAGUUCCUGACGCUGAGGCACGAAGGUCAGGGGAGCAAACGGG